rnacentral:tRNA from 1 species
UAAAAAUUAGUUAAAUUUAUAACAUAAGUUUGUCAAGCUUAAAUUAUUAGAAAUCUAAUAUUUUUAA